UCUUUAUAAUAAAUAUAUUUUAAUAAAUUAUUUUAUUUAAAUUAAUAAUUUAAUAUAAAAUUAUUUUAUUGGGGUGAUAUAAAAAUUUAAUUAACUUUUUAAAUUUAUUGUCUUUAAUUAAAGAUUUAAAAAUUUAUGAUCUAUAUUAAUAAUUCAAAGAAUAAGA
rnacentral:rRNA from 1 species